rnacentral:rRNA from 1 species
UAGGGAAUCUUCCACAAUGGACGAAAGUCUGAUGGAGCAACGCCGCGUGAGUGAAGAAGGGUUUCGGCUCGUAAAACUCUGUUGUUAAAGAAGAACAUAUCUGAGAGUAACUGUUCAGGUAUUGACGGUAUUACCAGAAAGCCACGGCUAACUACGUGCCAC